CACCUACGGGAGGCAGCAGUGAGGAAUAUUGGUCAAUGGGCGGGAGCCUGAACCAGCCAAGUCGCGUGAGGGACGACGGUCCUAUGGAUUGUAAACCUCUUUUGUCGGGGAACAAAGGCGCCCACGGGUGGGCGGAUGAGUGUACCCGAAGAAAAAGCAUCGGCUAACUCCGUGCCAGCAGCCGCGGUAAUACGGAGGAUGCGAGCGUUAUCCGGAUUUAUUGGGUUUAAAGGGUGCGCAGGCGGAAGAUCAAGUCAGCGGUAAAAUUGAGAGGCUCAACCUCUUCGAGCCGUUGAAACUGGUUU
rnacentral:rRNA from 1 species